AUGCUGCAGCGUCUCCAUUUUCUAGAGGUGGCCUAUUGCGAUAGGCUGCAGGUGGUAGAGAGCAAUGCUCCAAAUCUCACCACCUUUUACUUCGCAGGUUUGGUAGGUCAAAUCUCACUUGGGGGCUCACUGCAAGUGAAAACCCUAUACAUGAUAUGCUUCCGCCAGACCAACAUUGUCUGUUAUGCUCGGCAAAAUCUUUUGUCUAUUGCGCCAAAUGUUGAAACACUUACCAUAUCAUCACUGAGUGAGAUGGUGAACACACCGAUGCUAUCUAGCAAGUUUCUCCACCUCAAGGUCUUGCAGAUUUCAUUAGUGGGAAUGGCUUUUUCCGGAGCUUAUGAUUAUCUUUCUCUGAUUUCUUUUCUCGAUGCUUCUCCUUGCUUGGAGAAUUUCGUAUUAGCUAUAUCUCAGCAUCGCAUGCAGCACGCUUCGAUUCUUGGAGAGCCCUCGCAUGAUCUGAGGCAGACCCCGCAGCAGCGCCAUGACAAGCUCAAGAGUGUGACGAUCACCGGCUUUUGCUCGGCAAAGAGCUUGGUUGAGCUAACAUGUCAUAUCCUCGAGAACACAACAUCACUCGACUGCCUUACGCUGGACACCACAUGUCAUCCUAGUUGCUCUGUCACAAAACUUGGCAAGUGUCACCCCCUCAUCCUCAUGGAUGGGGAUAGCCUCGUGGAGGCACGGAAAGCGCUCUUGGCCAUCAGAAAAUACAUUGUUGGGAAAGUCCCCUCUAUGGUCAAGUUAAAUAUCUUGGAGCCUUGCAGCCGAUGCCAUGCUGUUGAAUCUUUGGUCUCAACUGCCGAUUCUUCGUAA
rnacentral:rRNA from 1 species